GUGAAUCAUCGAAUCUUUGAACGCAAAUUGCACUCUCUGGCAUUCCGGAGAGUAUGCCUGUUUGAGGGUCAGUUUAAAUAAAAAUCGAGGUGUGGCUGUUUGGUGACCCAUCGGAAUUGGGUUAUCUUUGACCUUUUAUAAUGUUAAACUUACUAAAAAUAUUAUCUUUUGCCCACUCUU
rnacentral:misc_RNA from 1 species